UGAUGACUUGCAAGGUGUGUGCCCU
rnacentral:piRNA from 1 species